UAAAACUGCGAAUGGCUCAUUAAAUCAGUUAUCGUUUAUUUGAUAGUGUCUUACUACUUGGAUAACCGUGGUAAUUCUAGAGCUAAUACAUGCGAAAGCCCUUGACUUCGGAAAAGGGCGUAUUUAUUAGAUUAAAGACCAAUGCCCGUUUACGGGUUUAUUUGGUGAUUCCUGAUAACUUUACGGAUCUCAUAGCCUUGUGCUUAAUGAUAUUUCAUUCAAAUUUCUGCCCUAUCAACUUUCGAUGGUAGGAUAGUGGCCUACCAUGGUAUCAACGGGUAACGGGGAAUUAGGGUUCUAUUCCGGAGAGGGAGCCUGAGAAACGGCUACCACAUCCAAGGAAGGCAGCAGGCGCGCAAAUUACCCAAUCCCAAUUCGGGGAGGUAGUGACAAUAAAUACUG
rnacentral:rRNA from 1 species